GACGGGGGCUCCAAGCGUUAUCCGGAAUCACUGGGCGUAAAGCGUCUGUAGGUGGUGAUGCAAGUCACUGGUGCAAAACUCUGGCUCAACCGGAGGAAAGCCAGUGAAACUGCAUGACUAGAGUGUGGGAGAGGUAGAAGGAAUUCACUGAGUAGCGGUGAAAUGCGUAGAUACAGGGAAGAACACCGGAGGCGAAAGCGUUCUACUGGAACACAACUGACACUGAGAGACGAAAGCUAGGGGAGCGAAUGGG
rnacentral:rRNA from 1 species